rnacentral:rRNA from 1 species
AUUGAACGCUGGCGGCAGGCCUAACACAUGCAAGUCGAGCGGGUGAAGCGAGCUUGCUCCUGGAUGCAGCGGUGGACGGGUGGGUAAUGCCUAGGAAUCUGCCUGGUAGUGGGGGAUAACGUCCGGAAACGGGCGAUAAUACCGCAUACGACCUGAGGGAGAAAGUGGGGGAUCUUCGGACCUCACGCUAUCAGAUGAGCAUAGGUCGGUAGAGCUAGUAGGUGGGGUAAAGGCUUACCAAGGCGACGAACCGAAACUGGUCCGAGAGGGUGACCAGUCACAUGGUAAGUGAGAAACGUCCCCCACUCCUGCGGUAGGCAGCAGUGGGGACUAUUGGACGAUGGGCGAAAGCCUGAUCCAGCCAUGCCGGGUGUGGGAUGAAGGUGUUCGGACUGUAGAGCACUUUAAGUUUGGGGGAAGGGCAGUAAGUUUAUACCUGGCUGUAUUGACGUUACCGACAGAAUAAGCUCCGGCUAACUUCGUG